GAUGAACGCUGGCGGCGUGCCUAAUACAUGCAAGUCGAGCGAAUGGAUUAAGAGCUUGCUCUUAUGAAGUUAGCGGCGGACGGGUGAGUAACACGUGGGUAACCUGCCCAUAAGACUGGGAUAACUCCGGGAAACCGGGGCUAAUACCGGAUAACAUUUUGAACCGCAUGGUUCGAAAUUGAAAGGCGGCUUCGGCUGUCACUUAUGGAUGGACCCGCGUCGCACUAGCUAGUUGGUGAGGUAACGGCUCACCAAGGCAACGAUGCGUAGCCGACAUGAGAGGGUGAUCGGCCACACUGGGACUGAGACACGGCCCAGACUCCUACGGGAGGCAGCAGUAGGGAAUCUUCCGCAAUGGACGAAAGUCUGACGGAGCAACGCCGCGUGAGUGAUGAAGGCUUUCGGGUCGUAAAACUCUGUUGUUAGGGAAGAACAAGUGCUAGUUGAAUAAGCUGGCACCUUGACGGUACCUAACCAGAAAGCCACGGCUAACUACGUGCCAGCCGCCGCCGUAA
rnacentral:rRNA from 1 species